CUCAAACUCAUUUUUCCCUAGUAGCAGAGUUGAGACUUAAUAUUACAAAACUCUGCUUGCUUUAAAGAAUCUAAGAAGAAGAAGAAGAAAAAAAGACACUAAAGAACUUCCAAGCAGAAGUUUAAGAAGUUCUGCUAUAGCCCAUCCACUCGUUUGUGGAAUUUAAAUAUAUCCGUUUUUGCCACAAUAACAGCGUAGCCUUGCUAGAAUCAUAUACAAAGCAGCAGAUUUCUUUCUAUAAAUUACUGGACACUGUGGUGUAAUGUGGACAUUGCUGAGGAGGGAUGUAACUGCAACAGAAACAAAUUACUUACAUUGCAUGCAGUAGGGAAGUGGGUGAAAAGAGCAUUGAACUCUGAGUCGGGAGACGACUUCAAGGCCCAGCUCAGCACUCUAGCAGAACUUUAGAUGGAUCCAGUUUGCAUGCAGUGGUAGCUGCUGUGAGGCUGCGGUUAAAUAGAGCUGCUCAGACUGCAACAGGAAAGCAUUGAAUCGAAAGCAAAGGGGAGGAAGCGCAAACCGAUACCCACCACAAAGCUGCUGAGUGCCCAGCAUGACCCAAGCCGCACCCUCUGAUGAGGAGUCUUGUGGAGGAGUAAGAAGCCACAGACUUUAAUAAACCAUCAGCACAGCCUGUCCUCCACUUCCCUGGUCCAGCCUUCCCGGAUCACCAUGAGUAUCACCGGGUACUGACCUAAGAAGCUGGGUGAUGACAGAAAAGUGACCAGAAAUGUAGAGUCCAGAGGAAGGUACCCGAAAUGAAUGACUGUAGACCAUUUUAUCUCAAACUCCCUACACAGUCAAGCGUGGCGAGCACGAAGGUCCGGGGCAUGAGAAUGUUUCUGAGGAGCUCCCUGCUUGGGGUGAUUCCCAGAUGAAGACUCCUAAAAAUGUUCCCUAAAAAUGCCUUUGCUACCUCCCUGAAAGGCUGCUUCUAGUAGUGGCCAAAACAACUUAUAAAAAUUUUGUAACUAAAAAUAAAGCCCUUGUGAGAUACAGUUAAGAGAACUUUAAAUAUACACUAAGGUAUGAUGAC
rnacentral:lncRNA from 10 species